rnacentral:rRNA from 1 species
GUGGGGAAUAUUGGACAAUGGGCGCAAGCCUGAUCCAGCCAUGCCGCGUGAGUGAUGAAGGCCCUAGGGUUGUAAAGCUCUUUUGUACGGGAAGAUAAUGACGGUACCGUAAGAAUAAGCCCCGGCUAACUUCGUGCCAGCAGCCGCGGUAAUACGAAGGGGGCUAGCGUUGCUCGGAAUCACUGGGCGUAAAGGGUGCGUAGGCGGGUUUUUAAGUCAGAGGUGAAAUCCUGGAGCUCAACUCCAGAACUGCCUUUGAUACUGAAAGUCUUGAGUAUGGGAGAGGUGAGUGGAACUGCGAGUGUAGAGGUGAAAUUCGUAGAUAUUCGCAAGAACACCAGUGGCGAAGGCGGCUCACUGGCCCAUAACUGACGCUGAGGCACGAAAGCGUGGGGAGCAAACAGGAUUAGAAACCCUUGUAGUCC